rnacentral:rRNA from 1 species
AAGACCUUUGUGGCGNCGUGCUUAACACAUGCAAGUCGAACGUGAAACCCGGUAUUCGUAUUGGGAAGUAAAGUGGCGAACGGGUGAGUAACACGUAGGUGACCUGCCCCGAGGAGGGGGAUAACCGUGGGAAACCACGGCUAAUACCCCAGAUGUCUAAGGGUUUAGAAAACUUAGACUAAAGCUCCGGCGCCUCGGGAGGGACCUGCGGGCUAUCAGCUUGUUGGUGGGGUAAUGGCCUACCAAGGCUAAGACGGCUAGGGGGCAUGAGAGCGCGACCCCCCACAAUGGAACUGAGACACGGUCCAUACUCCUACGGGAGGCAGCAGUGAGGAAUAUUGCACAAUGGGGGCAACCCUGAUGCAGCAACGCCGCGUGAACGAUGAAGGCUUUCGGGUUGUAAAGUUCUUUUCUGAAGGAAGAUAGUGACGGUACUUCAGGAAUAAGUCCCGGCUAACUACGUGCCAGCAGCCCGGGUAAAACGUAAGGGGCUAACGGUAUUCCGAAUUAUUUGGCNUUAAGGCNCNCNUAGCCGGC